UGGGGAAUAUUGGACAAUGGGGGGAACCAUGAUCCAGCCAUGCCGCGUGUGUGAAGAAGGCCUUAUGGUUGUAAAGCACUUUAAGCGAGGAGGAGGGUACUGGUAUUAAUACUACCAGGUACUGGACGUUACUCGCAGAAUAAGCACCGGCUAACUCUGUGCCAGCAGCCGCGGUAAUACAGAGGGUGCGAGCGUUAAUCGGAUUUACUGGGCGUAAAGCGUGCGUAGGCGGCUAAUUGAGUCGGAUGUGAAAUCCCCGAGCUUAACUUGGGAAUUGCAUUCGAUACUGGUUAGCUAGAGUGUGGGAGAGGAUGGUAGAAUUCCAGGUGUAGCGGUGAAAUGCGUAGAGAUCUGGAGGAAUACCGAUGGCGAAGGCAGCCAUCUGGCCUAACACUGACGCUGAGGUACGAAAGCAUGGGGAGCAAACAGG
rnacentral:rRNA from 1 species